rnacentral:rRNA from 1 species
GAAUUCACUAGUGAUUCAGGCAUAACACAUGCAAGUCGAGGGGGGUUUUCGGACAUAGCGGCGGACGGGUGAGUAAUGCGUAGGAAGCUACCCGACAGAGGGGGAUACCAGUUGGAAACGACUGUUAAUACCGCAUAAUGUCUACGGACCAAAGUGUGGGACCUUCGGGCCACAUGCUGUCGGAUGCGCCUACGUGGGAUUAGUUAGUUGGUGAGGUAAUGGCUCACCAAGGCGACGAUCCCUAGCUGGUUUGAGAGGAUGAUCAGCCACACUGGAACUGAGACACGGUCCAGACUCCUACGGGAGGCAGCAGUGGGGAAUAUUGGACAAUGGGCGCAAGCCUGAUCCAGCCAAGGCGCGUGUGUGAAGAAGGCCUUCGGGUUGUAAAGCACAUUGAGCGAGGAGGAAGGGUUGUGUGUUAAUAGUACACAGCCUUGACGUACUCGCAGAAGA